ACUUGGGACCCCGUUUCCACCCAGGACCACAGGCUCAAGAUGGCCUGGUAGAUGCAGCCGGCACGCGCCUCUCCUCCGACGGGAACAGAAGGAGCCGGAUGCGCAGAUCUCAACGGAAGGACCCAGGAGACAUGAAAAAGCAAGGAAAUGUGACGCCUUCAGAAGAAACCAGUAAUUCUCCAGCAACAGAUCCCCAUCCAAAAGAAAUUCAGGAAAGCUCAAACAGAGAAUUGAGCAGAGAAUUGACCGGACUGAUUGUAAAGAAGGUCAUCAACAUGGAAGAGUCUUUUGAACAACAACAUAAAGAAAUGAGGAAAAGAGGUGGGGAGAUAUAUGAGAUGAUUACCUGCCAGAAAGAGGUUUUAAAAUUCAACAGAAGAGUAUUUCUGGAACUGAAGAAAUCAUUGGAUGAAAUACAAAGUACACUCAAAAGCUUCAAUGAUAGACUAGAACAAAUAGAAGAAAAACUCUCAGGGCAUAAAAUCUGAAGCAUUUUUCUCACUUUAAAGAUUCAUGGGUUGUACUCUGGCCAUUAAUGUGAACAAAACCUGCUGGGUUAGUUCUUAUUCUGGGGUCUUGGGUAAUCGUUAGAGCGAAAUAAAAAUAAUUUCCCUUAGA
rnacentral:lncRNA from 1 species